rnacentral:rRNA from 1 species
AGAGUACGUGAAACCGUUCAGGGGUAAACCUGAGAAACCCGAAAGGUCGAAAGGGGAGAUUCAGCGUGUCUCGAUUGCGGCGCUGGAUGGUCGUGCGACGGAAGACGUACGCGUCAUCCGCACCUUCCGUCCUCCGAACCGUAGUCGAACGCGUGCACUUCUCCCCCUGUAGGACGUCGCGAUCCGUUGGGUGCCGGUCUAAGGCCCGCAGUGGAGCCCGUUCGGACGGUUCUCCGUUCCGGACGAACCUGCGGUGUUUCCCGGUCGGCUCGCUCGACGGUAUACAGAUGGCGCGGGGCCGCUACAUUAGUUAGCGUCCGACCGGCGGCAAGCGCGCUCGUCGUGACGGUGAUCGGACCUGGUGCCGGUCCUGUCCCCGAGUGGCUGUUCGCUGCCGUGUUCUCGGACAGACCUCGUCGAAACGCCGAUCUGCGACGCUAUAGCUUUGGGUACUUUCAGGACCCGUCUUG